UGACCUAAACCCUCACCAGAGUAACAAUUGGAGGGCAAGUCUGGUGCCAGCAGCCGCGGUAAUUCCAGCUCCAAUAGCGUAUAUUAAACUUGUUGCAGUUAAAAAGCUCGUAGUUGAAUUUCUGCGUUAUCGAGUUAUUGACUCUUGUCUUUAAUCGAUUUCGCUUUUGGGAUUUAUCCCUUUUUACUUUGAGAAAAUUAGAGUGUUUCAAGCAGACUUUUGUCUUGAAUACUUCAGCAUGGAAUAAUAGAGUAGGACUUUGGUUCUAUUUUGUUGGUUUUUGAACCUUAGUAAUGGUUAAUAGGAACGGUUGGGGGCAUUCGUAUUUAACUGUCAGAGGUGAAAUUCUUAGAUUUGUUAAAGACGAACUACUGCGAAAGCAUUUGCCAAGGACGUUUCCAUUAAUCAA
rnacentral:rRNA from 1 species